rnacentral:lncRNA from 1 species
GGCGGGCGGCCGGCGCGCCCACUGCUCCCUCCCUCCUCCCUGGCCAGUCCCCGUCCUCUCGCGGCGGCUUUCCCUCGGUCCCCUCCGCCUCUCCUCCUUCCCUUCUCCGGCCUCCUCCCUCUUCUCGCCAGCCUCCCUCCUGGCCCUGCGCGCUCUCCCGUGCCUCUCCCUCCGCUCGUGUCAUUGUGUCAUUCUUUCUUUCCUCCUCGCUCCUGUCUCGGUACGUCUGUCCUUCCACUGCCGGCGUGUCCUCGUCCUCUGCGCUGGGGCGACGGGUCUUCGCGUCUUACUCUCUCUCUCCGCCGGCCCCCCUCCCUGUGUGUCCCCUGCCUGCUCCCGGGGCUCCAUCCUCCCCUUCUCCGGCCUCCUCCUUCCGCGUCUCCUCUCUCCUACACCUUCCCCAGGCAGGCUCUGCAGUUCCCGCUCCCUCUCGGCUCUCCCAGCCUCCCUCCCCUCGCUGAGGUUCGGUACCCCCGCCCCCCACUGGGGACUCGAAGGUGAAUCAGACCCAAACGUGCCCUUGCAGCGGGAGCUCACGGUGUGAUGGGAGAGACAGACCCAGCCGCAGACAGUCCCAUUCCGGGGUGAUGGGGUGUGACCGAGGGCGAGACCAGAGGCUGAGAGAGCCGGGGCGGAAGGAAUCCUCGCAGCAGGUCCACCAGGGGGGACCUCCAGAGAAGGCGUGGUUGUGGCGUGACCUCCAAGAACCAGAAGUUAGACCUGAAUUGUUGAGAGGGGCAGCAGUAAGGGCGUUCCAGGCCCAGGGCACAGCUUAAGCAAAGGCCCAAAGGCAGGAAACCAAGGUGAUUCCGGAGGACAACAAAGCAGUCAAGUCUGACUAGAGCGGUAGGGGCCGGGAGCCAAGGAGCGUAGAAGAAGCUGGGGUGAGUGGGCGGGGCCGUUCUCGGCGUGUCCAAGGCCAGGCUGGGAACUUAGUCUUCCCAGAGUGACAGGGAGCCACGGAGGGUUGUGAGCAAGGGGAGGGACGGGGAGAGAUGGAUGGGGUAGGACCAGCGGGCAGAGAGGACCCCGAGGGACUGGGCACUGCUGGGUUGUGGGUGAGGGUGAGGAGCCAGGGGAUGGGAGUUGUUCCCAGCGGGGAGCCAGGACGAAGAAGAGGGUGGAGGAGAGAGAAGACGACGCUGUGGGCAGCUUAGAACCUAGGGGAACGUUAGGGGCUGGGCACAUUUCGGCAGGACAUUCAGGCAGUAUAGAUUUAUGGUUCUAGGGCUUCCUCCCACCGUGCCCCCAGACAUCCAGUUCUCUGGGGACAACUUAUGCUUACAAAUUUCCUGCGCAUUUUUCCAGAGGAAUUCUUACACCUAUGCAAUAUGUUAUACCAUCCUCCUCUUUCUUGUCCCUAGAUGGAAUCACGUUAUUCUGCACCUUGCUUUAAAAAAAAAAAAAAAACACUAUGCCCCAAAGAUUCACCCACAUCCAUGCCGUUAGAGCUCCCUCAUUUGUUUAAAUGGCUCUAUAGUAUUCCCUUUAUUUAUCCAUAAUUCAUGCAAUCAGUUGAGAGACUGGGAGUUGAAACUAAUGAAUAUUGCCUAUUCAAAUCUUCUGGUUUGUGUGUUUUUUUAAAAUUGAUUCCAUUCAGUGUUUUUUAAGCCUCUGAAACCAGCUAUUUGAUAAAUACCUCCAGAUGUUUUAAUUUUUUUUUUAUAAUUACUACAGGGGUGCCCCCUUAUUUAGUUCCAUUUUCCAAAGUUUCAGGUAUCCACAAUGAACUAUAAUUUGAAACAUUAUACACAGAAAAUUCCAGAAAUAAUUGACAAGUUCUAAAUCGUGCGUUCAUCCAGGCAGUGUAACGAAAUCUUGCACCAUCAUUUCCGGAACCUCUGUCAUCCUGUGGACAGGUGUAUCCCCCUGUGUAUGCCACAUGCCCAUUCAGACUUUCAGUAGCUGUUUCAGAUUGAGUUAGCAGAUUGCCUUUUGUGAUACUUCAGGGUUGUGUUUUACACAAGCCUUAUUAUACUUAAUCGUGGUCCCCAAGUACAAGGAUAGUGAUGCUGGUAAUUUUAUUACAAAAUAUUGUUAUAAUUGUUCUAUGAUUGUUGUUAAGCUCUUAACUGUACAUAAUUUGUGAAUUAAACUUUAUCAUAUGUAUGCAUGUAUAGAAAAAAGAAAACAUAGAGCAUUUGGUACUAUCCAAGGUUUUAGAUGUUUAUUGGGGGUCUUGGAACAUAUCGUGUUCCCCCCAUGGUAAGGGGGGAAUACUUGGAUGACAGAAAUAAUAAUGUGAGAACCCAUACCCUUAUUGAAUGACUGCUAAGGGCAGUCCCUACACUAAGUAUUUGCUAUGCAUUACAUAAUUUUUCACAUGGCCACCAUGUUAUUAGAAACAGUUAUUAUUUCCAUGUAAGAACAAGGGACUUGAGGUUCUGAAUAAUGAGUUGCCCAAACUUACAAAGUCAGUGACAGAGCUGGAGACUUGAACCCAGGCCUCUCUGACUUGGGGUGGGGGUUCUUCCUCUGUGAAAAUGUGCUACUUCUAGGGGUUGAUGUUGUGCACAUGUGGACUUGUCAUGCCCACAAAUUCACGUGUGAUUCCAAAGGACCCUUUGUCAGACCCUGUACUUUGGUAUCUGGAAUUCUGUCCCUCUGCACUCACCUUACAUGCCCUGUGGUCAGGACAGGACAGCAGCUGCACAACCAUGCUGACCUUGUCCUGCCCUGAUCCUGGUGUGUUGUGAUUUCAGUGUCUGGGUCUGUCUCUGGGAAUACACUGAGGGCACAGUCUAGGUCUGAGUCAUCUCUGCAUCUUCAAAAUAUCACCCAACAUAGGUGUGGCUCAGAGCAGGGUCUCAGGAAAAUGAUAAGUGAAUGAAUAGGGGGAUGGGUUGUGCUGGGACUUUGAUGAAGUCCCUGGGAUAAGAGAACAUCAUUCCCAUAACUUCCUGAAACGUGAGGCCUCCAUUCCUAUCAGUUGGUAAGUCAUGGAGACUACUUUUGCCACCAUUCUCUAAUGUAUACAGUUCCAAAUCCCUCAGCAUGUGAGCCUCAGCUGUAACAAUUUCCACAAAGACUGAGACACUCCCAUCAGCCCUGGGGACUCAGGGACCCCUCACUCCCAUCCCUCUGAGACUCGAGGCUGGCAUUCCUGGCAGACAUUGGCUCACAGGCAUACUAGACCUUCUCUGCCUCCCUACAGCCGUAAUUCCCACAGCCCUUACACAUAGAGACUGCUAUUCUCUUGACACCCAAGUGCCACCAUUCUUGUUCCUGGGUUGGAACCAUACUCCAAUGGAAAAUAGAAAUUUUCUGCCCUUCACAAGGCCAUCCCCAAAUUUCUGAAAUGGGAACAGCUAAACAGGAAGACACCCUGAACCUGUUCCAAACUAGGUCUGAGUUUAGGACUCUGACAUUGAUACCAUGAAACAGGAGGCAGUGGGUCAUAAAGAACAUCAAAGUAAUGCAGAAUCCUCCUCGAAUGAGAGAUCAAGUCCAAACCCAGGGUAAUCCUUGAGCAGCACAUAAUCCUUACAGGUGGGAUAAUCCUCAGACCGGCAGAACAUAAAAACGCAGAUGAUCCAAAGGCCACAGAUGCUUCCAUGGCACUAUUAAAUAAUCCAAAAUGGUCACUUGCUCCUGUGGACUUGUAGGAAUUGGAGAUGGAGGCAUCAUUUUUGUUUUGGUGAAUGACAAAUCCCAUUCCCAUUAUCUCUUCUGGUCAAGGAGCCUGGGAGAUGGGUGUGGUUAUUUGGGGAGGGUCUCCCCACAGCCUUCCUCUUUGCAAUGGGCCAUACCUACUAAUUUUGAAAGAAAGCCCACAUUCACAUGACUUUUAAUAUAGUAUAUUGUUGUAAUUAUUCUGUUUUUAUUAUUGUUGAUCUCUUGCGGCGUUCAAUUUACAAGUUAAACUUUAUAAUAACUAUGUAUAGAGAAAAAAGAGUCUACCUAGGAUUCAGGACUAUCUGUGGUUUCAGAUCCACCGUGAGUCUUGCAAUGUAUUCCCAGUGAUGAGGGCGACGACUGUUUGAAGACACAGAAGAGACAUUGGAAAGAAGACCACGUGAAGAUGCAGACUGAAGCGAGGCGUCUACAUGCCAUGGAGCAGAAAGGAUUCCUACCAGCCUCCUUGAUUUCCAAAUCCCAUCCUCCACAACUGUAAGAGAAUAAAUUUCUAUUGAACAAUAACAUUAGAAAUGAGAACAAGUCGUGUUGUUCCUAUCUACUGUCAAUAUAUUAAUAGUCACUUUCAAAUGUAAGCAUUCUAAUGUAACUUGGAGAAGAAAUCAUUGUCUGUUCAAGGUCAAAUUUUAUCAUUCAGUUGAAGUGUGUGUGUGUGUGUGUGUGUGUGUGUGUAAUUACAUAAUUACAGGAGUAAGAGGCUGAAAUAAUUAAUGAUUGUGAAAGCCAGCAGGAUGCAGGUGGGUUCUUCAGGAGAAUGACUCUAAAGUAGAUUAGAGUUCAGCAAAUUAAUUGGGGGAGCCCUCAGAAUUCACUUGUGUAGGGGAGCAAACAGGUGAGCCAAGGAGAGGUUGAAUGGUGUGCACUUAUAGUAAAGGCCUCAACCAAUCCCAUAGGGAGCUGGGGAGCUGGAUGGCUCCACAGACGCAUCCUGAAUUGGAACAAUAUAGCUAGGCCUUAUACUGCUCAUUGACCUGUUAAACAAAACUCUUUAGGCCAAUUAAACUUAGCAGAGUUAAUAUGAGCAAAGAAUGAUUCAUGAGUUGGGCAGCUCUCAGAACCAGAAGAGAUUCAAAGAGCUCUGUCCAGCAGUGUUAGCAGAGAAAUUUCAAAGCCUGAACACAGAAGCAAAACAGAAAUCACUUGAUUGGCUACAGCCUAGUUUCUGCCUUGCUUGGGCGUGGUGUGGUUAACCAUUUGCAUUGAUUCAGCAGGUCUGAUCAAUUAUCUGCCUGUGAUCCCCUGAAGCUUGGCUGUUUGUUACAAUAUUACUGCCAAGUUAGUGCUAUGGUGAGCGUAUCCCCCCAAAACACAUGUUUUGCAAGGUUAAUUCCCAAUGCAACAGAGUUGAUAGGUGGGCCUGGUGGGAGGUGUUUAGGUCAUGAGAAAUUCAUCCUCAUGGAUAAAUUUAUACUGAUUAUAAAAGGGCUUGGGGUUGUGGCUCAGUGGUAGAGUGCUUGCCUAGCAUGCCUGAGGCUCUGGGUUUGAUCCCCAGUGCUGCAUACAAAAACUAAAUAAACAAAAUAAAAGAGCUUGAGGUCACAGGUUCAAUUUCCCUGGUCUUUCUUACCCUCUUACCUUCCUCCGAGUGAUGAUGAAGCAAGAAGGCCCUGGCCAGAUGUUGGCACCUUGCUAUUGGGCUUCCCAGACUCCAGAACUGUGAGAAAGAAAUUCUUUUUUUAACAAAAUAAAUGGCCCAGUCUGUGAUAUUCUGUUUAGUAGCACAAAAUGGACUAAGACUGUUAGCUUUUCUCUUGUUUGCAUACUAAGUUAGGUGGUUUGUUAGGGAACUCAAAGGGCAGCCAGCCUUAGGCUCAUGGCCUCCUGCUUGUUUUGACUCAGUCGACCCAUCACUGGAUGUGUGCUGACCGGAAAGGGGCUGUGACCUCCGUCAGGCAGCUCCCUUGCUCCGAAGGGGGUCUUUGUGAGGGAGGACUCAACUGCAGGCUCCCAGUCACCAAUACUCCCAGCAACUGCAUGGACAGUACUCAUGUCCAGAGGGGGCAGUCCACCCUCUAUGCCAUGUCUUUGACACCCAGGAACAAUGAACAACUUCCACAUAAUCAAACAACUCAUGAAAUAAAACAGUGUGGUGUGUGUGUGUGUGUGUGUGUGUGUGUGUGUAGGUAUACAUUGAUAUAUCAAUAAUGAUAUCAAUAGUAAGGGUGACUCAAUUAGAUACUGUAAUUAGGAAGAAUAUUUUCUCCUCUUGGAACCAACACGUGGAUAUAAAAACUGUAAAUGAUAACACAAGGCAGAACAGUAAAGACUAGAGAAGACGGAAACCCAGACCUCGUGUUUGCGCUAGGCAGCCUUUGUACAAUGGUUUGGCAUUCCAGCUUUCAUAUUACUAAAGGAAAUAAUCUUUAAUAACUGUAUUUAAUUUUUUAAUCAUUUAAUUCCUUUUGGGAUGUACAUCUUUUAAGAAAAGGUGUUAUUUGAAAGUUCUUUAUGUAUCUGAAGAUGAAUUUUAAAAAGAUGGAUGACUUUGUUGGCUAAAAUUUCUUGAAGUGGAAGUAAAACCCUCUAAUAUCAUGUACAGCAACUUCUAUGAAAAAUCAUCUUUGAUCCAGACAUUGUAACGAAUACAGAGAGCAUAAAAGAAACAGGAAAGUUUGGGGAAUGAGGUGCCUCAAACGCAUUUUGUUCUCACUAAUCAAACUUCAAAACAACAGAUUUUUAAAAGAAUACUUUUAAAACUACGUUCUUUAUAGUUUUGAGUCCAUUGAAGCUAAAACCUUAAAUCGAAACUGUCAAGUUUGCUGCAUACUACUGACCACCGUUUUCAGAAGUAGAAGAUGAGGAAUUUUCAAAAUUUGCAUGAGCUAUGAUUCUUAAACGUUCUUUCUGGAAAACAUGUUUUAAAAAAUCAUUCUUUCUGGAAAACGUGUUUUGAAAAAGUGUUAUUUAAAUUAUACAUAGAAUUACUGUAUGUACUGCCUCAGGAUCUUGUAUGUGAAACAUUUGGGCAUUAAACAAUGAGGUGCCUUUUUAGUUGAUUUAUGACUACCUUAACUGUGACUCUGCUUGUUGCUGCGAUAUUUCUGGGUCUUGCCCGUAAUGGACAACACAGCAUGUAUGAAUCAUGGAUGCACAUGGAAAGGAAAAUCAUCAUUGAUGAUGGAAUAAGAAAGAGGCUGAGUGAAUUAGAAAUUACAAGCAUAUUGUGAUUUGUUCUCUCUUCAGUUGUGUCCAGAAAUAGACAGCAGCAUCGGGCAGAAGAAUUGCU